CUCAGAGACAGCAGUAACACCUUCUGGCUAUAGUCUAUUUUCAUCUUUCUCAUCCUAGUGUUAUCAAGAGAAAAACAGUCUUAGAUGCAACAUAAAAAUUUCAGAGACAGAAGAAAUCUUCCUUUGAGGGCAGGUUUUUUGGGAAAGAUAUAUAGCUUUUGGCAGAAGAAAAUCAGUGACAAUGACUUAGAAGAAUCUUAAUCUCAUGAAAGAAAUAAAUGCUUGUCAGUCAAGAAGUUGUAACCUUUACCUUGUUUUGACCUUUACAUUUUCAAGUGAUACACUUAUGUGAGAUUUUGAAAAGUGAAAAAUCAAAGGUGGAAUUGACCAGUAGAUGUAAAAGUACAACAAAUAAACAAAAAUGGCAAUGUUGAAAGUGAAACUGAAAUUCAACAGAAAUAAAAGAAAUAGCAGACUGGGGGGAUAUUGACUUUGACACCAUGAUGCCAGAGGAACUUAGUGAUGGCAAACUUAUCAAUAUAAAAUGAGGAUAUUGGUUGUCAACUAGGUUGUGUGGUGGUCCUUGAUCUUGUCCAUCAAGUCCUUUUUCCCAAAGGAUAACUGAAGAAGAUCACAUACAUUCCAACUUAUUGAGUCUGAUAGGUAUUCAUCUGAUGAGCUCCUCUUCAACUGAGGAUUGAAAUGCUGUUUUUCUUCCCUGGUACAAUGUUAAAGCUUUAAACUCUUGUCAAUGAUGUGAUGUUUCAUCUGCAAUGAUCUACACUAGAAAAAUAAAAAUGUAGUUACUGACAAAAAAGCAGGAACUACUGCUCUAAGGAAAAAAGGACAGCUACAUGAGGACCACACAACUCCUGGAAGAGGUUUCCCUGGCAACACAACUUUUCCAUUCAUCUGGUUGCAGUGUUUUCAUCCAGUAGCCUGUCACCUCACUCAAAAGCAGGGCAAUGGAGAGAAAGAAACUUACCAAGUUUUUUCUUUUAACUAGAGAGUAGCCUACUUAUUGGGCCCUGCAAUUAAUUUCAGGCAGAUUUAUAAAGGAAGCUGCUGGAAGGAAUUCAUUCCCUUUUUGCUGUUCUGCCUUCCACCUUCCACUGUGUGAGGACACUGCAAGAAAGCCCUCAUCAGACACCAACUGCCAGCACCUAGAUCUUGGAAUUCUCAGCCUCCAGAACUCUUUUACCAAUUUUGAGUAGAUUUUAAGGAAGAGAGAAACAGGCCACUUCAGAUUGGAAGCCCACACCUACUCCAGGCUGUUUUCCAACUGGAAAAUGAUGUGAUGGGGUAAUCCUGCUCUCUAUCUGUAUCUCACCAGCAGAAUGCAUACUCUAUCAGAAAGGUUCUUUGGUGGAAUGUAUAUUCUCUGUCCUGGAGCUCCCCAAGUGCCCACUGUCUCUGACCUCAAAGUCCAGGCCUUUCAAUUGGAUGACCCAAGACUACCCCACUGUGAUUCUUUCUCCUGAGUGAUCUACACUUUCUUUUGUGGCAACACUCACUACAUCCUGACCCUACCGUCUCUAAGAUAUGGUGCAGGUGCUUCUGCACUCUUCUGGCUGCCAAACCAGUCAGCCCUUUGCUUGCUUUCUAGAUUUCUAAAGGCAGGAUUCAGAUAUAAUGCUACAGUUUGUCUAAACCCAAUAAAUAAACUGUUCUCUCCCCAGGCCUCAGACAAAACAAACAUGAUUAUCUUCCUUCUGUAUGUCAGUAAGGUGAGCAACACCAUUCUCCCCUGAAUGAACACACUAAAAUUCCUGGGUGUUGUCCUUGAUACUCUGUUUUUCUUUAUCCUUCAUCAUAUCUUUAAGUUCAGCCUGUCACAAACAUUCAAUGACACCAUUGAUAUCUAGUACAUGUCAACCUCUUUCUUCCCUGAAUGCACACAAAAGCCUCCUAACUUGUCUUUUUCUGUCAGUUCAGUUUUCCUGUCAUUUAAUACUGUUUCUUCUCUUGCUACUUGAGUUAUUUUCCUAAGUGCAAAUCUAUUGUCAUUUCCUUGUAUAAAAUUUUAAUGGCUCUUUAUUCCAAAACUAGAGAUUGAACCGUUCUCAGUUUUUCUAUGUCGUUGUAUUUCCUGUCCUGAAUAACCCAUCCCUCAUAUUCCCUCUUGCCAAUUAUGUGGCUCACUCCUUCUCACACUUUAAUGUUGAUUUAGACUACAGAACUCUGUCUGACCCCUUGCUCUACUCUCAAAGCUCCCCUUUACUUCAGUCUAAUUCUCUUAUCAUGCACUAAAGCCAUCAUUUAUAUUUGCUUUCUUUUUAUAACUUAAUAAUCCUUAAUAAGUCAUCACUUCCUUGACAGGAAGAAUCAUGUCUUAUUUUCAUCAUGGUAUCAAGAGUAUACAAUACAACUCCUGGCAAACUAUUAGUGUUUAACUGAUAUUUGUGGAAUUAAUUAAUGAGUAGGUGAAUAAGUGUAAUGGUGGGUAACUCAGUAUCUAGAUGAAAAACACUGUCUCAAGAGCUUUCUCUUUGCCAAGACUCCAGUCCCAAUUCCGAGCCUUUAACACUCUCCGCUUUAAUUUGAGGAAAAAAUGACUCUGAUGGACCAGUUUUGGUCCAUUAUGUAGUUUCCACUUAAUAAAUAGAAUUAAAUAAUUUCAAUUAAGAAGGCUCAUGUGAAUACUGACACAUUAUCAGAUACUUAGUUGACUAAAAGUCUUCAAAGGUGCCGUGUCAUAGUCAGAGUUCUGGCAUUGAGGAGGUUUAAAGAGAGUUCUUAUUUACUAAGAGAGUUAGACAGGCAAACCACAGGAGAUGGUGCUAUCACCUUACAUGAAGCUUACAUUAUACAGAAGGGAGGAAGAUACUAGAAGAAUAAGUUUUUGAGUUCUAUGCAGAAAAAUUACAUAUGGAUACAGGAGGGAAUUUUAUGGAGUGAGAAGUGAUAGUCUAAAUAAAUGGUGAAGGAAUCCUUCUCUGAAAAUGAGUAAACUAUGUGUACAUUUGAAGGAAAUGCCUCACUGGCAGAGCUAUGUACAAAGCAAAGGCUCUGAGGUGCCAGUAUAUUUAGUAUGUUUAAGAAAUCACAAAGACAAGCGUGACUGGGACUGAAGGAGGGAGUGAAUUAAUACAAUCCAGAAAACCUAAAAUAUUUAUAUUACCUGGCUUUGUUUGAAUUCCAAUCCCAAAUGAAUUUGUCAAAGAAAUCUGAUUUGUCCAACCUUAGUUAUUUGACAACUACAGGUUAAUCCACUCUACUGAGGAAGGAUGAGUCAUCAUAAAUAUUUCUUGCAGUGUCUUAUCUUUUUAAACAAAGAACAAAUUUAAGAGAAGUGUGCUGGGGUUGGGAGGGGAGUGUGUUGAUGGUUGUAGAAAUCAUACCAAGAUUGUCUUCUCUGUGAAUGUAAAAGGACAGUUCUUUAGGGGAAAAUCCCUCAGACUUCUGGACAGGGGCUUAGAACUAGAUUAUGUGACACUGUAUAGAGGAGGCUAAGUAUAAGGAAAAUCUCAUAGAUUUACAUAAUACUGAGACUGGAAAGGAAGUUAGGAAUUUUCAUGUUCAGUCAUAUUAAAAAUGAAGUAAGGAAAUUUCAGAAGCUAAGUGACUUUUUUUCAGGUUGGUAUACACAGCUAAUUAGUGCCAGCCCACAGACCAAACACGUAUCUUUUGAUUUCCUAUUCAAUUUGGCAUAGAAAAUAAUGUGACUUGAGUUCUGAGAAAGCACUUUUCUGGAGAGUCCCUAAGAAUACUUCCAGACACAAUUAAUUAAAAUAGAACUAGUGGCAAUGUUAAGAUAAAUCAGAAAAUAGCAUGAAAAACAGAAUAAAUUUAAUGUACAUCAAAGUACGUCAUCAUGGGAAUGGCUCUCAAACCAAACCCUGAAGGAGAAUAAUGUGGCCUCAAAUCAUUUCAGAGCCUAGGGCAUGAAACUUCCAUGAAAAAUGCUGUUUGUCUGAAUUCUUGUAGUGAAAUAUAGACAUUCAUUAAAGUAAAAUGUCAUAAGGAAAAAGAGAAACCCAGCAAAAAUUUUUGUGCAAAAUUUUCUCACUGUGGUAACGCAGUUAGAAAAAAAUAGAAAAAGCUGUGAGUUUAAGCUCUGGAGUCUGAAUUAUCUUUAUUUGAAUCUUUGCUGGGACCUGUCUUAGCUAUGUACAACAAGGCAAGUUUUCAAUCUCUUUGAAUUGCAGUCUCCUCGUUCAUUUAAACCAAACAAUACAAAAGAAAACAAAAAUCUAUAUUCCACUUAACAUCUCCAGUAUAUUUUGAGUAUUACUUAUGUAAGGCAUAUAAAUAUCUUGCAUAUUUAUUGAUAUAUAUUAGAUGUAUGUAAACUCUUGAUUUUCAUAAUAAUCUGUGACAUUAUUCAACACAGGGACUUUCCAGAGAGAUACUUUUGAGUUCUUGAUCUAAAGUAUUUUUCUUCUAUUUUUUCAUUAUUGUUUCCUAAUCAUUAAAAGUAAUGACAAAAAUCAUGAUUACUUUUGCACUAACCUCAUAAUAAAAUAUUUCAAAUAUUGUUACUGAGAGUGAAAUGUAGUGAAAACGUUUGUUGUUCCUAUUAAUGAACCUUACUAGACUUCCGAGGCACCCAGAAGACUAACACUCUAAUAAAGGCUAUAGCAAGUAAUUGACGAAGAACGGAUAAAUUGCAGAAGCAGAAAUUUCUCAGCUCUAGAGAGGUGGUUCAAAGAUUUAAUAAACUAAUUAAAAAGUCUGAAGAAAAGAGAAACCACUGAUGGGUCUUGACGUCUUUAAGUAAAGUAGUAACAAGCACAGUUGUCAUGGAGGUAACACAACAGCCAGAAUGUUUUUCUAAGGAGUGAAUUAGGACACACAGUGGAAAGUGCCUGAAGAAAUUAAGUGCAUUCAAAGUACAUCUGAAUUACUGAGAGUUUUAAGAACAUUAGAUUGCCCAUUUUCUUCUGUGUAAUUUGUAAAUUAUCUAUUUUAAUUCCUCCAUUUUACAAAUGAAGAUAAUGAACCUUAAAAGUAGCAGGGACUAUUUCCAGCUCCAUUCAAUAAAAGCCAAGUCUUCAUUUUAUAAAAAGCGUUCACUGUAGUUUUCAUGGAGCAAAUUAGUGGCAACUUGAGUCACCAUGCAGUGCCCUAGUGAAAUAUUCCUGCUUAACUCUAAUGGAUCUAGGCAGUGACUUUCUUAGUGGUGAUGGCAAUCGUCCCUCGGUUUAUGGUCCUGGUCAUAGCUAUAUCACAUGUUAUUUUUAUUUAUUUUGUAUAUUUUUACUUUUAUGUUUGCCUUUUUGUUGAGAAAAUGUCAGAGAACAUACAUGUAUACAAACUUACAGUAUAAACAUUAAGGCUUUUUAAAUUGGCUGCCUUUUGCCACUUUUUGGAAGGCAAGUUGCAAAUUUAAGGGAACACUUCAUAAUCUCAUUCAUUUGCAGAAGUUGGCAUACAUCAGUGGAGAAAAAGAACAUUCAGAAUUCACCCUGGGACUCUAUGAGUGCCUUAGGUGAUUGAGCAGUGCUUUUACUUUUUCAUGAUGUUAUAUGUAAAGGAUGCAACUACUGUAAUCACUAUUCUGUGCCACUCUAAAAGUAGCCUCAUAAAAAGUGUUCAUUAAACUGAAAAUAGUUUACUUGGCAUUUCCUAAAACUCACCAGAUCUGUUAUCAGCAGCAAUUAAAAAAUCUUUAAAGGUAUUUGUUUGUAUUCAAUUAUCACACAUUAAUAUUUUCUUAUCUUUAUCUUUCUAAAACCUUACUUAACGUUUCUGCCUCAUCUGCUAAUUUACUGACAUUUCAUCUUACGGUAAUAGUAAUUGUUUCUCCUAUCAAACAUACCUUAUCUUUUCAGAUGGUAUUUCAUUCUAUCCCUGAACUUGAAACAUCUUUCCCACCCUUUUUCUACUUGAUGAAAUUUUCUUACUCAUCACUAAAUGCUCAGCUAUAUUAGAGUCCCUUCAAGAAGACUUCCCUGUACUCUCAUAUUGGGUGAUAUACCUCCUUUCUGUUCCCAUCAUGCCCCAUCUUGUCAGCAAUCAUCAUGGUAUCUUGGCCUUUCAUGAAUCAUCUACUCCACUCUCAGAUAUUUUGUUAUCACAGGGCAGUAACAGUGUCACAUUCAUCUGUCUACUUCUAGGAACCCCACAGUGCUUAUUAUAAGACGAUGCUUAAUAAAUGCUCAUUAAACAAAAGGAAAAACUACAGUAUAAAUCUCCCAUACAUACAAAUAUGAGCAUAUUCCAGGAACACUUACUUGAGACAUCAGAUUUUUUUUUUGUUAUAACAUUUCACUCAGAUACAGUGUGCUUUUUAAGGAAACAGAAAAAUUUUAAUUCAGAGAACAGCUGCCAUCUUUUGGGAGAAGUCAGAAGAAUCUCUCUCCCUUUUGCUCUCUCCCCUAUAAAGCGAGAGCUUAUUGUUAAUGAUAUUUUUUGUAUGUGAAAGGUAGCUUGAAGAGAAACAGUUGUUCUUGAUAUUGAAUAAAUUAAUUGUGAAACCUGUUUUGCUUCCUUUUUCUCCAAGUGGAUAAAAAUAUUCAUGAUUCUAAAGCUGUAAAAGGCUAUUCUGAAACUAUCCGCAGACAAGGUUGUCAUGGAAACCACCAUUUUUUUGGAAUAGUACAAUAAAUAGUCAUCUAAAGAAAUACUGAACACGGCGCACCUUGCUCUGGUAAUUAUAGAUGGUCCAGAAUUGAAACAUCUAUGACAUAUUUUGCUCUCAGGUGUGCCACCAGAGGAUAUUUAUUACCAUAAUGGGAAAUCUUUGUAAACAGGUAAGAUACAAAAUGUUUACUUGCAGCAAUAACUUGAGGUAUGGAAUGAGAAGGACACAUACUACUACUGCUUCAUAAACUCCUUAGUCUCCUCAUCCACCUCACACAUACAUUCACGGCUUAUGCAAACAGAUAAGAAUAAAGACAUGAGACAGUAAAUUUCAAGAUUCACUAGCAACCUAAGAAAGUAGAAGACAAAAGAAUUUAAGAAUAUGUGAAAAUCAGGGAUAGCUCUAAAUUCUCUUUCCCUAUACACCCCAGCUUCCUAUAGGGAGACUAGAUACCAAAGUAUAUAAUAAGAGCUUGGAUAAAUGAAAUUAGAAUUUGAAGAACAGUGUUAAAAAAAAAAAAGAAUAAAAAUAGCAUCCUUUCCCUGUCUUCUCCGUAGGUUUUUGGGGUGUGGAAGGCUGCCAAAGAGGUAGGGGAUAAUUUCUGAAUAUAGAGAAUAAUCUUGAUUUACGACUGAAGUUUUACCACUUGCAAAACCUACAGAAGUACUUCAUGCUUCAGGGGUUGAGGGAGGACAGCCUUGAGUAGUGGCAAAGCUCAAAGUGAAGAGAUCAAGAUUUUUCAUUGAGGAGAUGUGAUUUAUCCAGGCAAGUUUUAAGGAAGGCUGGCCAUGGACUCAAGUAACCACCAAGUGGUGUUACAUUUGCUAGAGGUUAGGAUUAGGAGAGAAAGUCCUGUUAUUUAUACCCACCCAUGGAUGCAGGCAAAAUAGGUACAUGAUCAUACUACACAAAAUAGUCAACAUUUGUCACUGCCCCAGUGAAAAGGAAGGAGAUGGAUUUCAAAGAGAAGGCUUUGAAUUGAAUAGGGACCAUGUUUAAAACCCAAGCCAAAAUGAUUCUAUAUUGAUCCAAUAUAUUUAUUAGAGGCAACAAGAUUGUCUUUUUUAUUCUUGAGCUGAAUAGGAAGUUGUAAUACAAUUUAUAUUUCUGAGCAAAAAAGGUUUUACUUUUUAUACGUAUGAUUUUUACAUAUUACAUUCUUGUAUAUAUACAUAUCAAUCUUUACAUAUAUGUGGUAUAAAGAGCAAAAGGUUCAGCUCAGGGUCCCAAAGAGAUAGUACAAGAAAAAAUUAAAAUGGGUCAUCUAAACCAAACUAUUCUGAGUUAAGAUCUUUUUGCUUUUUUCAAUAUUCUAUUUAUUCUUCCCACUGUGAAUGAGUUUUCUUAAUCCCUUCCUAAUGCAGGCAGGAGGAGAGUAAAACAGAGGAUAAGAACAUCAGCAUUCUCUGAGAAGUUGAUUUUUUUUUUUCUUCAACUAGAAUGAGAAAGCCAAAGCUUGCUAUGGAAAAUUACCUAACCUUAAAUGUCUAACAUUUUUAAUGCAAGAAACUAUUGGUUUAUUAGUGUCCUAUGGAACCUGGUUAUGAUAAUUAGUGUAAAAACAAAACAAACUGCAUAGAAAGACUUGAACUCUAUUUAGCACAAGGGCAGCAGGGGAGAGAGAGAGAAAAGGAGAGAGAAAAACAUGAUCAUUUGUAAGCAAGUGGGGACUAGAAUCAGGUAAUUAUUAUACAGUUCUAUAUUUGUAUGUCAUUGUUUUUGCUAAAAUAAAUUGUUGUUACCCUAUUUAGCAUAUUAGGUUUCUUCGAAGGGUUACCCAAGAGUUCUUAUAUAUUUGGUUAGGAAGGAAGCAAAGCUAAGAAUGUUAUUCAAUUUCACAAUGGAAAUCAAUACUACCUAACAUUCUACAAUAAUCCAAGAUAAAAUAUAGAAGCCAGAAAGGACACAUAGAUCUACUUUAAAUAAUACUAAUUCUCAGAAAUUCAUGAAGAAAUAUAUGCUCCCAAAGUUUAUUUAGCUGUGCUAGGUGUAUAACUAGAAACAUAAGAAAAUUUAUUUUCUCUGGAAAGCCCUGCAAUAUGUUUAAAGUUCUACUAGUUCCCUUUAAAUACAGGAAUAAAAUAC
rnacentral:lncRNA from 10 species